rnacentral:rRNA from 1 species
GGACCUGACUGCUAUCGGAUUAAUACUAAGCCAUGCGAGUUUUUGUAGUAAUACAAGGCAUACGGCUCAGUAACACGUAGUCAACCUACCCUAUGGACGAGGAUAAUCUCGGGAAACUGAGCAUAAUACUCGAUAGACCAUAAUGCCUGGAAUGGUUUAUGGUUGAAAUGAUUCGUCGCCAUAAGAUGGGACUGCGGCCUAUCAGCUUGUUGGUGAGGUAAUGGCCCACCAAGGCGAUUACAGGUACGGGCUCUGAGAGGAGAGGCCCGGAGAUGGGUACUGAGACAAGGACCCAGGCCCUAUGGGGCGCAGCAGGCGAGAAAACUUUGCAAUGUGCGAAAGCACGACAAGGUUAGUCCGAGUGAUUUCUGCUAAAGAAAUCUUUUGCAAGUUCUAAAACCACUAGUGAAUAAGGGGUGGGCAAGUUCUGGUGUCAGCC